CAACUGGGGCUUGGUCACACAGAGGAUAUCCCAUAUUUUACCCCCUGCAAAUCCCUCUUUGGCUGUCCCAUCCAACAGGUGGCCUGUGGCUGGGAUUUUACGAUUAUGCUCACAGAAAAUGGUCAAGUUCUAUCAUGUGGAUCCAACUCCUUUGGCCAGUUAGGAGUUCCUCAUGGACCUCGAAGAUGUGUGGUUCCCCAGGCCAUUGAGCUCCAUAAAGAGAAGGUUGUUUGUAUUGCUGCUGGACUGAGGCAUGCAGUAGCUGCUACAGCGAGUGGCAUCGUGUUCCAGUGGGGGACUGGUUUGGCAUCAUGUGGACGACGGUUGUGCCCUGGGCAGACUCUUCCAUUGUUUUUCACAGCAAAGGAACCAAGCAGAGUGACAGGUCUAGAGAAUUCUAAAGCAAUGUGUGUUCUUGCUGGCUCAGACCACUCAGCUUCAUUAACAGAUGCAGGAGAGGUGUAUGUUUGGGGAAGCAACAAGCAUGGGCAACUGGCUAAUGAGGCUGCUUUCCUUCCUGUGCCCCAGAAAAUAGAAGCACAUUGUUUCCAGAAUGAAAAGGUCACUGCCAUCUGGAGUGGAUGGACACACCUGGUUGCUCAGACAGAAACUGGCAAGAUGUUUACCUGGGGCCGAGCAGACUAUGGUCAGCUAGGGAGGAAGUUGGAGACUUAUGAAGGCUGGAAACUAGAAAAGCAAGAUUCAUUUCUCCCCUGUUCAAGACCACCGAACAGCAUGCCUUCGUCUCCGCAUUGCUUAACUGGAGCAACUGAGGUCUCUUGUGGCUCAGAGCAUAAUUUGGCAAUAAUUGGUGGAGUGUGUUACUCUUGGGGCUGGAAUGAGCAUGGCAUGUGCGGAGAUGGCACUGAAGCCAACGUCUGGGCCCCAAAGCCGGUGCAGGCUCUGCUGUCAUCGUCAGGACUCCUUGUGGGCUGUGGGGCUGGCCACUCCUUGGCCCUCUGCCAGCUGCCAGCUCACCCUGCAUUGGUCCAGGACCCCAAGGUCACCUACCUUUCCCCAGAUGCCAUCGAGGACACUGAAUCUCAGAAAGCCAUGGACAAAGAGAGAAACUGGAAGGAAAGACAAUCAGAAACUUCAACCCAAAGCCAAUCUGACUGGUCCAGAAAUGGGGGACUGUGAUAGAGAAUCUUUAAUAAAGUGGCUUUUCCCACC
rnacentral:lncRNA from 1 species